rnacentral:tRNA from 1 species
CCUCGUUGUGGGUAGGCCGAGCCCUGCCAGGGCGCGGACGUGGGGGAGCGUCCGGCGGGGGGUGCUCACGGCGGCUCCGUUGCCGCCGUCGAGGACC